GCGAUGGCGGCGGGGAUAGUGGCUUCUCGCAGACUCCGCGACCUACUGACCCGGCGACUCACAGCCUCCAACUACCCGGGACUCAGUAUUAGCCUUCGCCUCACUGGCUCCUCUGCACAAGAGGAGGCUUCCGGAGUAGCCCUCGGUGAAGCCCCAGACCACAGCUAUGAGUCCCUUCGUGUGACGUCUGCGCAGAAACAUGUUCUCCAUGUUCAGCUCAACCGGCCCAACAAGAGGAAUGCCAUGAACAAGGUCUUCUGGAGAGAGAUGGUAGAGUGCUUCAACAAGAUUUCGAGAGACGCUGACUGUCGGGCGGUGGUGAUCUCUGGUGCAGGAAAAAUGUUCACUGCAGGUGUUGACCUGAUGGACAUGGCUUCGGACCUCCUGCAGCCCAAAGGAGAUGAUGUGGCCCGGAUCAGCUGGUACCUCCGUGACAUCAUCACUCGAUACCAGGAGACCUUCAACGUCAUCGAGAAGUGCCCCAAGCCCGUGAUUGCUGCCGUCCACGGGGGCUGCAUUGGCGGAGGUGUGGACCUCGUCACCGCCUGUGACAUCCGGUACUGUGCCCAGGAUGCUUUCUUCCAGGUGAAGGAGGUGGACGUGGGUUUGGCUGCCGAUGUAGGAACACUGCAGCGCCUGCCCAAGGUCAUCGGGAACCAGAGCCUGGUCAACGAGCUGGCCUUCACCGCCCGCAAGAUGAUGGCUGAUGAGGCCCUGGGCAGCGGCCUGGUCAGGUAGGGCCGUGGCCGUGGUAGGUCAGUGCUGGGGGCAGCCAGGCCUGGAGUGUUGGAGGCCUCUGCCGGUCCCCUUGUCUCCUUGCUCUAGAAUUCCAAGGGGCAUCCUUUCUUGGUGAGGUCAUUUCUUUAUUGUGGGGUCAGCCCC
rnacentral:sRNA from 1 species